GAUUUAUCAUCUCAAAACUCUUAGAUACCAAAGUUUUAGUAAAUGAGUUGGCCAAGUUCUCUUUUCCAUCGAUCUUCUAAAGAUUGAUGUUAUCUUAAUAGAUUUCCUGAAUAAGGUAGUAGCGAUACAAAAUGCUUGAUAAGCUAAUGAGACUUUGGCUCCUUGGCAUAAGCUAUGGCUAUGAUGCUAUACAAUACAGUAGGACCA
rnacentral:lncRNA from 1 species